GCUUACGGCCACACCGGCCUGAGUACGCCUGAUCUCGUCCGAUCUCGGAAGCUAAGCAGGGUUGGCCCUGGGUAGUACUUGGAUGGGAGACCGCCUGGGAAUACCAGGUGCUGUAAGCU
rnacentral:rRNA from 1 species